rnacentral:rRNA from 1 species
CCUACGGGGAGCAGCAGUGAGGAAUAUUGGUCAAUGGACGCACGUCUGAACCAGCCAUGCCGCGUGCAGGAAGACGGCUCUAUGAGUUGUACACUGCUUUUGUACGAGGGUACACGCAGAUACGUGUAUCUGUGUGAAUGUAUCGUACGAUUAAGGAUCGGCUACCUCCGUUCCAGCCGCCGCGGUACUACGGAGGAUUCAAGCGUUGUCCGGAUUUGUUGGGGUUAAAGGGUGCGUGGGCGGUCGGUUAAGUUAGAGGUGAAAUCCCGAGGCUCAACUUCGGAAUUGCCUCUGAUACUGUGCGGCUAGAGAGUAGGUGCGGUAGGCGGAAUGUAGGGUGUAGCGGUGAAAUGCUUAGAGAUCAUACAGAACACCGAUUGCGAAGGCAGCUUACCAAGCUACUUCUGACGUUGAGGCACGAAAGCGUGGGGAGCAAACAGGAUUAGAUACCCUUGUAGUC